rnacentral:rRNA from 1 species
UUCCGGUUGAUCCUGCCGGAGGUCACUGCUAUUGGGAUUCGGCUAAGCCAUGCAAGCGGAGGGCGCGGUCGAAAGAUCGUGGCCCCGCACACUGCUCAGUAACACGUAGUCAACCUACCCUUGGGACGGGGACAACCUCGGGAAACUGAGGCUAAUCCCCGAUAGGUGAGGGACGCUGGGAUGCCUCCUCGCCCAAAGCUCCGGCGCCCAAGGAUGGGACUGCGGUCUAUCAGGCUGUUGGUGGUGUAACGGACCACCAAACCUACGACGGGUACGGGCGAUGGGAGUCGGAGCCCGGAGAUGGGGACUGAGACAAGGCCCCAGGCCCUACGGGGCGCAGCAGGCGCGAAAACUCCGCAAUGCGCGCAAGCGUGACGGGGGAAUCCCAAGUGCCGUUGGUCUUAUGAUCGACGGUUUUUAGGAAGUCUAAGAAGCUUCCAGAAUAAGGGCUGGGCAAGACUGGUGCCAGCCGCCGCGGUAACACCAGCAGCCCAAGUGGUGACCACGAUUAUUGGGCCUAAAGCGCUCGUAGCCGGAUCAGCAAGUCCCUUGUGAAAUCGGGCCGCCCAACGGUUCGGCGUGCAAGGGAUACUGUUGGUCUUGAGGCCGGGAGAGGUCGGAGGUACUCCUGGGGUAGCGGUGAAAUGCUCUAAUCCUAGGGGGACCACCAGUGGCGAAGGCGUCCGACCAGAACGGACCUGACGGUGAGGGACGAAGGCUAGGGGAGCGAACGGGAUUAGAUACCCCGGUAGUCCUAGCUGUAAAGCAUGCGGGCCAGGUGUCUAGCGCUCCUCGAGGGCGCUAGGUGCCGGAGGGAAGCCGUUAAGCCCGCCGCCUGGGAAGUACGGCCGCAAGGCUGAACUUAAAGAAAUUGGCGGGGGAGCACCACAAGGGGUGGAGCCUGCGGUUUAAUUGGAAUCAACGCCGG